AUUGAACGCUGGCGGCAGGCUUAACACAUGCAAGUCGAGCGAGCGGCGGACGGGUGAGUAAUGUCUGGGAAACUGCCUGAUGGAGGGGGAUAACUACUGGAAACGGUAGCUAAUACCGCAUACCAUCAGAUGUGCCCAGAUGGGAUUAGCUAGUUGGUGGGGUAAUGGCUCACCUAGGCGACGAUCCCUAGCUGGUCUGAGAGGAUGACAAGCAACACUGGAACUGAGAAACGGUCCAGAAUCAUACGGGAGGCAGAAGUGGGGAAUAUUGCACAAUGGGCGCAAGCCUGAUGCAGCCAUGCCGCGUGUGUGAAGAAGGCCUGCGGGUUGUAAAGCACUUUCAGCGGGGAGGCGUUACUCGCAGAAGAAGCACCGGCUAACUCCGUGCCAGCAGCCGCGGUAAUAC
rnacentral:rRNA from 1 species